rnacentral:rRNA from 1 species
UACGAAGGGGGCUAGCGUUGCUCGGAUUGACUGGGCGUAAAGGGCGCGUAGGCGGUUUGCAUAGUCAGACGUGAAAUUCCUGGGCUUAACCUGGGGGCUGCGUUUGAUACAUGCAGGCUUGAGUUCGGAAGAGGGUCGUGGAAUUCCCAGUGUAGAGGUGAAAUGCGCAGAUAUCAGGAAGAACACCCGUGGCGAAGGCGGCUCUCUGGGACGGUACUGACGCUGAGACGCGAAAGCGUGGGGAGCGAACAGG